rnacentral:rRNA from 1 species
UACGGAGGGUGCAAGCGUUGUUCGGAUUUACUGGGCGUAAAGGGCGCGUAGGCGGUCAGCACAAGUCAGUUGUGAAAUCUCCGGGCUUAACUCGGAAAGGUCAACUGAUACUGUGCGACUAGAGUGCAGAAGGGGCAACUGGAAUUCUCGGUGUAGCGGUGAAAUGCGUAGAUAUCGAGAGGAACACCUGCGGCGAAGGCGGGUUGCUGGGCUGACACUGACGCUGAUGCGCGAAAGCCAGGGGAGCGAACGGG